CUCGGGGCGGGGGUCCCUCAACCUGGAUUGCGAGAGAGUGCAGGCCAGGCCGAGGGACCCCACCAGUGCACG
rnacentral:pre_miRNA from 1 species